rnacentral:rRNA from 1 species
CCUACGUGAGGCAGCAGUGGGGAAUAUUGCACAAUGGGGGAAACCCUGAUGCAGCGACGCCGCGUGAGUGAAGAAGUAAUUCGUUAUGUAAAGCUCUAUCAGCAGGGAAGAAAAUGACGGUACCUGAGUAAGAAGCCCCGGCUAACUACGUGCCAGCAGCCGCGGUAAUACGUAGGGGGCAAGCGUUAUCCGGAUUUACUGGGUGUAAAGGGAGCGUAGACGGCAGUGCAAGUCUGGAGUGAAAGGCGGGGGCUCAACCCCCGGACUGCUCUGGAAACUGGACGGCUGGAGUGCAGGAGAGGUAAGUGGAAUUCCGAGUGUAGCGGUGAAAUGCGUAGAUAUUAGGAGGAACACCAGUGGCGAAGGCGGCUUACUGGACUGUAACUGACGUUGAGGCUCGAAAGCGUGGGGAGCAAACAGGAUUAGAUACCCGAGUAGUC